GAACCCAGCAGAACGUCGGCAGGCGUAAACCCUAUGCUUCUGCGAACUGCCACGUAUAGUGGACGAUCGCGCUCAUAUAUGCGGUGAAGACUAGCGUGGUGGGGGCCAAGUGCACGGGGUCUCCACGUGAACAGCUGCAGCCGUUGCCAGCUUCUCCAGCCGGUUUCUGAGUGGGUGGGGGAGGACUUAGCAACGCAAAGGUCACGCACUUCCCCGAUGGUUUGCGGGCGUGGAGCUGGUGCCUGAUAGCAUCCAAGACGUGUUCUACUGGGUUCAGAUCGGGCGAAUCUGGUGGCCCAGACAUCAACGUGAGUUCACUGCCAUGCUUCUAAAAUCAGCGUAGCUGAAUUCAAGCACGAACAGUUACCCUGCUGGAAGAUGCCACCGCCAUCGGAAAAGACAACGAGCGUGCAGUGACGCAGGUUAUCUGCAAUAAUGCAACAUCGUCCACAGCUGCGUCGUGCUUAGAGUACUACCAUUGGUGCGAGGUAAGCCCAGUCAAAUUCCAGACAGAUACAUGAAAAGGGACUGAAAUCAGACUUCAAUGUUCUGGCAUAAUGACAAGUGCUGGCACAAAGAUCAAGAACCUAACACAAGAGAAGGCUGUGACAUGACAUCAAUUAAUAGUAUGCUGACAAGGGCCGCACCACGACAGGAGCAGCCUGAAUCCGAAGAGAAUAUAAGCACUGCUCCUGCCAGCCUCGGCCAGACAGUGGAAGAAUGGAUAGCAGGUCUGGACUGGAAGACGCGCACUAGAAGAGACGUGAUUUGUGAUCCAUAUGACCUUUUGUGAUUAAAGUGCAUGAAAUUUUGUAUAUAGCAAGGGACAUUAAUUAUUUGUAUGUUACCAAUUGCUUGCUGCCCAAAAAGUUAGGUAUUGUCAAUCUACCUUACUGUAAUAAAAAAACAUUAAUAUGA